rnacentral:rRNA from 1 species
GAUCAUGGCUCAGGAUGAACGCUGGCGGCGCGCCUAACACAUGCAAGUCGAACGGCACCUGCCCUCGGGCAGAAGCGAGUGGCGAACGGCUGAGUAACACGUGGAGAACCUGCCCCCUCCCCCGGGAUAGCCGCCCGAAAGGGCGGGUAAUACCGGAUACCCCGGGGUGCCGCAUGGCACCCCGGCUAAAGCCCCGACGGGAGGGGAUGGCUCCGCGGCCCAUCAGGUAGACGGCGGGGUGACGGCCCACCGUGCCGACAACGGGUAG